rnacentral:sRNA from 1 species
UCGCGACGCCAGCGACAGUGCUUCGAGA